AUUGAACGCUGGCGGCAGGCUUAACACAUGCAAGUCGAGCGAGCGGCGGACGGGUGCGUAAUGUCUGGGGAACUGCCUGAUGGAGGGGGAUAACUACUGGAAACGGUAGCUAAUACCGCAUACCCUCGGAUGUGCCCAGAUGGGAUUAGCUAGUAGGUGGGGUAAAGGAUCACCUAGGCGACGAUCCCUAGCUGGUCUGAGAGGAUGACCAUCCACACUGGAACUGCGACACGGUCCAGACGCCUACGGGCGGCAGCAGUGGGGAAUAUUGCCCAAUGGGCGCAAGCCUGAUGCAGCAACGCCGCGUCUAUGAAGAAGGCCUGCGGGUUGUAAAGUACUUUCAGCGGGGAGGCGUUACCCGCAGAAGAAGCACCGGCUAACGCCGUGCCAGCAGCCGCGGUAAUAC
rnacentral:rRNA from 1 species